rnacentral:rRNA from 1 species
AAUAGAUACCCCGGUAGUCCACGCCCUAAACGAUGUCGACUGGUUGUUGGGGGUUUGACACUCUCAGUAACGAAGCUAACGCGUGAAGUCGACCGCCUGGGGAGUACGGCCGCAAGGUUAAAACUCAAAGGAAUUGACGGGGACCCGCACAAGCGGUGGAUUAUGUGGAUUAAUUCGAUGCAACGCGAAAAACCUUACCUACCCUUGACAUGUCCUGGAUCCCGGUGAGAGCUGGGAGUGCCCGAAAGGGAACGGGAACACAGGUGCUGCAUGGCUGUCGUCAGCUCGUGUCGUGAGAUGUUGGGUUAAGUCCCGCAACGAGCGCAACCCUUGUCAUUAGUUGCUACAUUCAGUUGGGCACUCUAAUGAGACUGCCGGUGACAAACCGGAGGAAGGUGGGGAUGACGUCAAGUCCUCAUGGCCCUUAUGGGUAGGGCUUCACACGUAAUACAAUGGCGCGUACAGAGGGUUGCCAAGCCGCGAGGUGGAGCCAAUCCCACGAAAGCGCGUCGUAGUCCGGAUUGGAGUCUGCAACUCGACUCC